rnacentral:tRNA from 1 species
UUAAAUGAAACCAAAAAAGAGGUAUAUCACUGUUAAUGAUACCAUUGAAAAAAAAUUCCGUUUAAA